GACGAACGCUGGCGGCGUGCUUAACACAUGCAAGUCGAACGGAAAGGCCCUGCUUUUGUGGCGUGCUCGAUUGGCGAACGGGUGAGUAACACGUGAGUAACCUGCCCUUGACUUUGUGAUAACUUCAGGAAACUGGGGCUAAUACCGGAUAGGAGCUCCUGCUGCAUGGUGGGGGUUGGAAAGUUUCGGCGGUUGUGGAUGGACUCGCGGCUUAUCAGCUUGUUGGUGGGGUAGUGGCUUACCAAGGCUUUGACGGGUAGCCGGCCUGAGAGGGGGACCGGGGACAAUGGGACUGCGGGACGGCGCAGACUCCUACGGGAGGCAGCAGUCGGGAAUAUUGCACAAUGGGGGGACGUGUGAGGCAGAAACGCUGCGUGCGGGAUGACGGCCUUCGGGUUGUAAACCGCUUUCGCCUGUGACGAAGAGUGAGUGACGGUAAUGGGUAAAGAAGCACCGGCUAACUACGUG
rnacentral:rRNA from 1 species